rnacentral:lncRNA from 1 species
GGUGGGCCAAAAAAUCACAAAAAAUUGAGACUUACCGACGGCGAAGCUCUCGGGUGCGGCGGCUUCUCUGGCGCGAGUCGCGAUUCAAUGUUUUGCUCCGGUCAACCUGUAGAGAAAAGAACGGUGAUCACAGUGGUGUAAAAAUUUCAUCGAACGGGUACCGGGAAGGGCCUCAUCGGAGGUAAAAACCAAGGGAAGUCGCGGCAGCCCUGCUGGACUUCGGCGGUGUUUUCUGGCCAAUUGGCUGGGGUUUGGCUCCGAUU